rnacentral:rRNA from 1 species
AACACGUAAAGAGCCUGCCCUCAGGUCUGGGAUAACCACGAGGAAUCGGGGCUAAUACCGGAUGGGUCAUCGGACCGCAUGGUCCGAGGAUGAAAGGCGCUUCGGCGUCGCCUGGGGAUGGCUUUGCGGUGCAUUAGCUAGUUGGUGGGGUAAUGGCCCACCAAGGCGACGAUGCAUAGCCGACCUGAGAGGGUGAUCGGCCACACUGGGACUGAGACACGGCCCAGACUCCUACGGGAGGCAGCAGUAGGGAAUCUUCCACAAUGGACGAAAGUCUGAUGGAGCAACGCCGCGUGAACGAUGAAGGCCUUCGGGUCGUAAAGUUCUGUUGUAAGGGAAGAACAAGUGCCGCGGGCAAUGGCGGCACCUUGACGGUACCUUGCGAGAAAGCCACGGCUAACUACGUGCCAGCAGCCGCGGUAAUACGUAGGUGGCAAGCGUUGUCCGGAAUUAUUGGGCGUAAAGCGCGCGCAGGCGGCCUCUUAAGUCUGAUGUGAAAGCCCCCGGCUCAGCCGGGGAGGGCCAUUGGAAACUGGGAGGCUUGAGUAUAGGAGAGAAGAGUGGAAUUCCACGUGUAGCGGUGAAAUGCGUAGAGAUGUGGAGG